rnacentral:rRNA from 1 species
UACGAAGGGGGCUAGCGUUGCUCGGAAUCACUGGGCGUAAAGCGCACGUAGGCGGACUCUUAAGUCGGUGGUGAAAUCCUGGAGCUCAACUCCAGAACUGCCUUCGAUACUGAGAGUCUCGAGUCCGGGAGAGGUGAGUGGAACUGCGAGUGUAGAGGUGAAAUUCGUAGAUAUUCGCAAGAACACCAGUGGCGAAGGCGGCUCACUGGCCCGGUACUGACGCUGAGGUGCGAAAAGCGUGGGGGAGCAAACAGG